GACGAACGCUGGCGGCGUGCUUAACACAUGCAAGUCGAACGGAAAGGCCCUGCUUUUGUGGGGUGCUCGAGUGGCGAACGGGUGAGUAACACGUGAGUAACCUGCCCUUGACUUUGGGAUAACUCCAGGAAACUGGGGCUAAUACCGGAUAGGAGCUCCUGCUGCAUGGUGGGGGUUGGAAAGUUUCGGCGGUUGGGGAUGGACUCGCGGCUUAUCAGCUUGUUGGUGGGGUAGUGGCUUACCAAGGCUUUGACGGGUAGCCGGCCUGAGAGGGUGACCGGCCACAUUGGGACUGAGAUACGGCCCAGACUCCUACGGGAGGCAGCAGUGGGGAAUAUUGCACAAUGGGCGGAAGCCUGAUGCAGCAACGCCGCGUGCGGGAUGACGGCCUUCGGGUUGUAAACCGCUUUCGCCUGUGACGAAGCGUGAGUGACGGUAAUGGGUAAAGAAGCACCGGCUAACUACG
rnacentral:rRNA from 1 species